UACGAAGGGGGCUAGCGUUGCUCGGAAUCACUGGGCGUAAAGCGCACGUAGGCGGAUUGUUAAGUCAGGGGUGAAAUCCCGGAGCUCAACUCCGGAACUGCCUUUGAUACUGGAGAUCUUGAGUCCGGGAGAGGUGAGUGGAACUCCGAGUGUAGAGGUGAAAUUCGUAGAUAUUCGCAAGAACACCAGUGGCGAAGGCGGCUCACUGGCCCGAUACUGACGCUGAGGCACGAAAGCGUGGGGAGCAA
rnacentral:rRNA from 1 species